GAGUUUGAUCGUGGCUCAGAUUGAACGCUGGCGGCAUGCCUUACACAUGCAAGUCGAACGGCAGCACGGGAGCUUGCUCCUGGUGGCGAGUGGCGAACGGGUGAGUAAUGCAUCGGAACGUAUCCUGGAGUGGGGGAUAACGUAGCGAAAGUUACGCUAAUACCGCAUAUUCUGUGAGCAGGAAAGCGGGGGACCUUCGGGCCUCGCACUCUUGGAGCGGCCGAUGUCGGAUUAGCUAGUUGGUGAGGUAAAGGCUCACCAAGGCGACGAUCCGUAGCAGGUCUGAGAGGAUGAUCUGCCACACUGGAACUGAGACACGGUCCAGACUCCUACGGGAGGCAGCAGUGGGAAUUUUGGACAAUGGGGGCAACCCUGAUCCAGCCAUGCCGCGUGAGUGAAGAAGGCCUCGGUUGUAA
rnacentral:rRNA from 1 species